UGGUAAAGACUCCGCCAGCAAUAUGGGAGACCUGGGUUCGAUCCCUGGGUUGGGAAGGUCCCCUGGAGAAGGGAACGGCUACCCACUCCAGUAUUCUGGCCUGGAGAAUGCCAUGGACUCUUUCAUGGGGUCCCAGAGAGUCAGAC